AAAACCCUCCCGCCCUGCGUCCUCCGGGGUACCCCCAGGCAGGGUGACACCCUCGCUUCUUCUCUUCCCUCUUCGCAGGGCGACCAUGGCCGAGUUGAGUCGCUGGCGGGGCAAGCGGCAGGACGAUAGCGGGCUGGGCAGUGUCCUCGACUUCCUGUUGGCCAACGCCAGGCUGGUGCUGGGCGUCAGCGGCGCGGCCGUGCUGGCCAUCGCCACGCUGGCCGUCAAGCGGCUGAUAGACCGAGCCACCAGUCCUCGUGACGAAGGCGAUCCCAAAGCUGAGCAGAAGACUUUGGAAGAGAGCUGGCAGGACUUGGCCUUAAUCAAAACGACGCCAAAACCCCCCGUGAAGCAGAGAAAGUCAGACCUCAGCAAGCCUCUGCUUGCUUCAGCCCAGCCACCAGCACCAGAGCCCAGGGUCUGCUCUGCUCCUCCAGAGACUCCUCAUGUGGAACCCAGCCCCCCUCCCUGCCUCACGCUACAGGAGAAGCUCCUCUCACACUACAGCAGCCAUCUGGCCGUGCCUGAGGCACAAGCGUCGCUUGCCUUGCAGCUGGCCAGGAGCAUCUGCACCCAACUGCAGAACUUCCUCCGCAUCAAGUGCCCGGAGCUGCCCUUUGGCAGCCUCUUCCUCAGCGGUCCCCUGCUCGAUGGCCUCGGUGUUCUGGCAGCUGACCACAUCCACCUCAUGCUGCCGGUGGUCCUGGAUACCGCUCUCUGGAGCCUCAUCCCGGGAGAGGACACUGUGGUGGGGAACCCCCAGUACUGGAUGAUCAAGAGGACUGAUCUGGAGUAUUUCCCUCGUGGGCGCAGCCCCUGGGACAGAUUCAUCGUGGGCCAGUAUCUCUCCUCCAAUACACUGAGUGAGACCCUCCACAAGAUGCUGGUGGCCUCUGUCAACUGGCCUGCCAUAGGCAGCCUGCUAGGGAGUGUCAUCCGCCCCGUCGUGGCCUCCCAGGAGCUGAAGCUGGAAGUCAAACACGACCAGAUUGAGCUGAGCAUCACCCUCUUCCCCAUGGUGGAAAUGGAGGACAAGGUUCUUCUGGCUGGUCCUCCUGAAGGAUUUGUGGAAAACCUCUGGCUUGAGAGCUUUUACAGGGCAGAGGUCUCGAAGGUGAAGGAGCUGGACACUGGCGACGCCGGGGCUCGGCAGCACUGCCUCCGCAUCCUCAACGGUGUCUGCAAGAGCCACCCUGCCCUGUACAAACUGAGUGGCAGCCCCUUGACCCACAUCAUCCUGCACCUCAGUGCCACCACCUCGGACUGGGCAGAAGAGAGCCUUGCUGACAGGUUCCAGGAGGUGCUGGAGGAGCUGGUAGUCUACCUGGAGAAAGGGGUCCUGCCUUCCUAUUUCAACCACAAAAUCAACCUCUUUUGCGAGCUGUUGGAAGAGGAAAUCGAUGAGAUGGGCUUCAUGCUCUACAGGGCCAUAGCUGAGCCCGAGCUGCUGCUGAAGGACAAGUGACUGGUGCGUCAGGAUCUCCCGAACAUAAGGUGUUCCUCACUCGUCUGCUGCUCCCUACUGUGAGGGUUGUGAUGCUUCUAGUUGACUAGCCAGUACGAGGCAAAGUUCUUGCACUUUAAUAUUUCCUGUUUGAGUAAAACAUGCCUGAGCAGAGGUGGGUGUUGGGUGAAGAGCUCGUGGCUGGGAGGCUCUGCCGAGCUCGGAGCCAGUGCAGCCCACAUCUCAAGUCCUGUCCAAUGGGCACGAGGUGCUUAUGGGAAGCAUGUUUGGUCCCUGGCUCCAGCAUCCUCUGCCUGUCCCAGCCUGCUGUCACAACUUGGGCUCCCCUCAGGCUCUGAGGCCAAGCUGGAGCUGGAGUGGAGCAGUUCCUCGCUGCUGCUGUGUCCUGCACACCCCACAUGCAGCAUCCUAGGUGGGUCUUUUCAGCAGCCCCCAGCUUGGUCUUACUGUGCCAUAGCUACAAGACAGCUUUUUGGAAGCCUCAUCCAUCUGUAGGAUAUUGCCAAUCUGAAAUAAGGCCCCGGUGACCACCUGGGGUGUUUUUCUGGGCACUUGAAGGUACACCCAUAGCACAUGGGGCUGUGAGUUUAUUCUUUGGACACCCUUUGGCUGCCAUAACGGGUGAGCUCAGCCCUACCUCUUUGUUCUGCCAGUGCUGGCUCUGCCCCAAGGAAGGGGUGUGCUUCCAGCACAGCACUGGGGCUUCCUGCCCCAUGUCCUACAGCUGUGUUUUGCGGGAAGAUGUCCCAAAAAAGAAAGUGGCAAGAAGAGAGCUGCUGACUCCCAGGAGGCUCCUGGUGUUAGUCCCUCAGUGGGAGCUGCUCAGGGUUGUGUGUCCCCUCCCAGCGUCUGUCUGCAGGUACUCACAGCUCUGCCACAACCCACGGCAUUGCUUUUGUCUGCCCAGGUAUCUUCUCACACCCAUGUUGCUGCUCUCCUGAGGUCCUGUUCCCUCAGAGCCUCGUGGUAGAGGGCAGGAAAGCAGCAGAGGAAUGAUGCUCCGAGCAGAGCACUUACAAGAAAUGACAUGGUUUAUGCUUUUUAUGAGGAAGUUUGCGGGAAGCCAACUUCUCAAGUUCCUGUGUUGGGAGGAGACAGGAAAAAAACAUCAUAUUUGUGCAUAAUUCAGAGUGGCUUUCCUACCUCCAUACACAUCUGGUAAAGGACCAGGCACGCUGUGUGACUGAAGAGCCGGUUCCUCUUCCAGUUGAAGACCACGCUGCCAUCUUCAUGAUCAUGUGUCACUGUGGUGAAGAACAGAUGCCAGUGACAGGAGUAAUACAAUGGAAACACAAGAGGCCAUGCUCUUGGGAAACCUCUCAGUUCUGCUGAGUGGUCAUGGCAAAGGAAGAGGAAGUUCCCUCAGCAGCACUGUUUAUUAGCUGCCCUGAUGUUUUUCCUUUCCAUACAUGUCAAACCCUUUAAGAUGGAGCCUGGGACUCACUUUUCCCAAGCAUACCUUUGAUUUUAUAGAAGGCUUCAGGAACAAAGGCCUGGAUGGCUUUGAAGCGUUCAACUACAAACCCCAGCGUUGGGAACUGGCAGCUACCAUAGCUGAUCAGCUGAUCUGCUAAAAUAUCGGGGAAGAUCCUCCGGAGCCUCAGUGUCUGGAAUCUGGUGAAGGCAGCCCCUGAGAAAACAGAAGGGACGGCAGAAUGGAAUACAACAGUGGAGGAGAAUCACAACGCUUCAGAUGGUUCAUUUUAAUACUUCUGAGUACAAAUUUUCCUCUCAUGUUAACACCAAAAGUUGCAGCAGCCUGUCACGGCUGUAUGAGCUAUAAACCCAAUGUUUGCUUCAAAGAGCAUGUUCCCAGACUUGCCUGUAUCUGACUUAUGAUACCACAGAGGGCAUUUCUGUCUUGUGUUGAGGCUACAGGAACGGAUGAUUUCUGAACACCCCUUGCUGGGCUUCAGUGAUGUGCAAUCAAUGUGGUUAGAUGAGAAGUGAGGAGGAGCCUCACGCCAGCUACCUCGUUUGUCUAAGGAAGUUUGAGUAUCUAUAGACAAUGAUAAUAAAGCUGUCCUCUGCCUACCUACCACGCUCUUGCUCACUUCCCUGUAGAAGACGUGUGCCCAGCAGCCUGCUGUCCCUCCACCACGAGUUUACGUACCUAUCCUGAGGUCCAGCUCCUGCCUGACGUCAACAGCAUCGCUGGUUCUUUGGUCAGGCUGGGUGAGGUUCUGGCAGGCUGUUCUGACAGCAUGAAGUGUAAUCUCUGAGAAACGGGCUCGGAAGACCUGCAGGUUUGGCUUUACUGUCAGAUAGGAAAACAAACAAUAAAGAAAUCAGAGUGGCUCAAGCCCCAUCAGAAAGGAGCAACUACCAAAGAGCUGUCUUUGAAAGAGUAUGCUGUCAACAGCUGAAUAUACUUUUGAUUUAUCAGAGCGACAUAUGUCAGAACCAUAGUCACUACAUUUAACCUGGACACAGUAAGACUGAGAACACGCCUGCUGUGAGAACUCUGAGCAGUGAUACCUGUUAACUCAGCACCUUAAUGGAACCCAGGUGGAUGCAGGAGAUGCUCUACUCACCAGCUUUGCACACGUGAAUGAUCUCAAAGCCGAUAUUCUCUCCCUCUCGAUCGCAGUCGGUCCAGAUCACCAGAGCUUGGCACUGCUGGACCUCUCGUUCAAGGGUUCUCUGAGACAAGAACACAAGGAGCGAGGCAAAAUGGGACACCUGGCAUUUAGUUUUAGAAUGACUCACUAACUGAACGUGAGACACAACGUGUAUCAAGAGAGACUGCAGCAAUAGCAUUUUGUAAAGAUGU